GAAAAUCUUAUCCAACAAUAGCAAGUUGAGGCCUUAGUUUUUGUAUAUGGAAUAUUCAGGGUAAGUGUAUAUUAGUAUUCUGAGAGUAAAAGUUACAAUUUAUUUAUAUUAACCCCUUAAGGACACAUGACAUGUGUGACAUGUCAUGAUUCCCUUUUAUUCCAGAAGUUUGGUCCUUAAGGGGUUAAAUAUAUGACAAAAUGUUUAAAAGGUGAAAAAAAUAUUUCUAUAUUGUUUAUCUUGUGGGAAUAAAUAGGAAGUAUUCCAAAAAAACAUAAACAAAGAGUAGACCACACCUUAGAUACAGUGUAGAAGAUUGAAAAACGAUGUUCAUCUUAUAAGUAACAUCCUUAAACCUUGAAUACUGGGUGAUAUCUUCUCUUUCAACGUCCUCCAUUUUAACAUAUAAAUUCACUUUAUUUUCUUUCUUCUACGCCAGUGACAGUCUUCAGCUGCCAGAUGAAUCAAUUUUCUGCUUCAUCUCUCUUUACACCCUGUCUGAUGAAGAGGGACUGGAAAUCUGUCCACCUCCAUCAUUCACUACACAAGAGCUAAUAUUACUCAACAUACAAUAACUGCCUUUUAGCAACCAGAUAAGGUGGAGGAUAGAUUCUAGAAUAGGGUUUGCUAUUAAAACAAUCUUAGCUGUGCAUGUGAUUCCCUACUCACUAUAAAACACAGAAAUGAGUCUCUUACAUUGCAAAAACCCAUGGGUGGCAGUCGCAGAUACUGCUGUAAUAUUCGGGCCAGAUGUACAAAGAAACCAUAAAAAUUACAUUGGCACUAUACUAAUCACUAAUGAACACUUAAAUAACAGAUGAUUUUAGUACCAAUUACAAUACCAAGUUAGUAAAUAAAACUAGAAAUGGUCAUUAUGUAAAAAGAACUACAUUGAGUUAUUCACAAAAGUCAAAAGAAAAUAAAAAGAAUAAACACACUGUGGUUCCUUGUGACAUUGUAGUCUGUUUAUUUGAAAUUGUACGCGAAUGUUGUGCCCAUUUACAAGAAAGGUAAUAGGGAGGAGUCGGGCAACUAUAGGCCAGUAAGCCUUACUUCAGUAGUGGGGAAAGUGAUGGAAACCAUGUUAAAGGAUAGGAUUGAUGAACAUCUAAAAACACAUGGAUUUCAAGAUCAGAGACAACAUGGGUUUACUUCAGGGAGAUCAUGCCAAACUAAUCUUAUUGAUUUUUUUGAUUGGGUAACUAAAAUUAUAGAUCAG